GGAAUACAAACAGGUUCUCAUAUGCUCUCUCUCUCUCUCUCUUUCUCACAAAAUCAAACACCACCAAACCUCACCGCGAUCCGCUCAUCUCGCCAUCGCUCACCGCCAUGCGACGUCGCACAUCGCCACAGAUGCAAAUCACAGUCGCACAUCACAAUUGUCUCGCCUCCAGCUUACAUUCAGGUUUUGUUGCAAUGUGGGCAAGCUUUUGGAUCUAAAUCGCGGUCAAUAUUGAAAUCAGUUGCAGUUGGAGCCCAUUCACCAUGGUGAGCAGCCAAAUAGCAAAUGUAGCCCGAAUUUUGGUGAAGGUUUCAGAAAAUGAAAAGGUAUGCCUCGGCACUAAGUAGAAACUAUCAUUUUACUGCAAGUGACGAAAGCUACUUUUACUGUCAACAAUUUAUCAUUUUACUGGAAACAUUGUAAUCUGUCUUUAUUUCCAUCAAUUUUUAUAGUCAACAUACUGGUAUUCUCUGUUUGCAUUUA